rnacentral:sRNA from 1 species
AAUGGUGUUGCUAUAAGGUUUGACCCUUUGAUAACUCUUGGUGGAUUAAGUGUCCCUAAUCAAGACAUCCAUUUUAGAUUACAUUCAAAGGAUCUUGUUUGUGUAUUAUUUUGAAUACUGUGAGACCUGGCUAUUCCCGGACAGUGGCUGAAAUGGCUUUCCAAGUAUGGGGCCUUCAGACUGCACCCUAGAUCUAAGACCUAGGAGCCUGCCUCAGUCUGAGAAGUUUCUCAAAAAAAAAAAAAGGAGGGGGCAUUACUUCCCAAUUAACUCAAUUAACUUCUUCUGGUGUUUAAGAAGCUACCAGGAAAUUAACCAAAUAAGGUCUCCUGCCUACUGUCUAUGUCUGAGGAACUCCGGGCCCUGGAAGUGAUUUCUUAAAGAAUGUACUAACCAACCUCAGGACUGCAAUUAGGUUCUACCAAGGAGAGGAAUGACAUCAGAGAAGGAGCCAUCUGUUUCCUGCUGAGCCCCCAACAGAGACACUUUCCAAUCAAGAAUGUACUGCAGCGAAUUCAAGAAGUACCAGUGUGGAACAUUAUAAGUGCCUCUGGGAGCAUCAACAGAAUAUUCAACAGAAUUUUCAUUUGUGAAUAUGGCUCGCACCAACAAAGGUACAGGGUCUCUCACUGAACCCAGGACAAGGCAGCCAUCUUCCAUCGAUGGGAUGGAGUUAACAAGCAGGUGUGUGUGUGACCACACCGGGUUUUCCCACGGGUGCUGAUGACUUGAACUCAGGGCCUUCAACUUGUCUAAAAGUAUCCUCCCACUUCUCGUGAUCUGUGGGAAAGAAUACAAAGUGUGAACAGAUAAGGAAAAUACACAAAGAAAUACAAAGUAGCAAGCAUACACAUUUAAAGGAGUGGAAAUUGUGUGGGAAGAGCGGCUUUGACGCUGAUGGAAGGCACAAAGCCCAGCUCAGAAAAGUCCCAUGCUGCCAAAUGGUCAGGAAGGUUUAAUUUUGUCCAAAAAAAAAAAAAGUCUGAAAAGCUGUAACAAAGCCCAAAAGCCAAGGUGCCACAUGUAGGCUGCAGAUGUGAACAGCGGCAGAAACCGUCCUUUCUCUGGGUUGAUGUAAAAAGACAACCCAAGAGUCUCACCGAGGCACACGCAAAACCAGCCAGGAAUGACGCUUUGAAGCCAUCCUUUAAAUGAACUGUCUCGGUGUCCUACAGUUCAUCAAAGGUUUCCUGUCUCUGAAAGGUCAGCCUCAUAUCCCUUACCCUUUCUGAAUCUCAGUCUCCUUUCAGCUCUUCACUGACAAACGGCGAGCAGGGGCCUCUUCGUCCUAACAAUCUCGAUUGCACAGUUCACAGAUUCUUAAGAUAAAUCACUACGCGAAUAUCAUAUACAGUCUUUGGUCUGUCUCACGGGUCUAUGUUAAAAAAUAAAAAUAAAAACCAAUACUUUUGUAAUAGCGAGGGGGUGUUGAAACCCUGAUUAAAUAAAGUGAGGUUAAAAACUCGGGAAGACA